AUGAUCACAAUGGAUUUCAUUGACGGACUCCCAACUUCUGGAAGUGUGAACUGCAUUUUGGUGAUCGUUAAUAAGCUGACAAAAUUUGCUCACUUUCUGCCCCUAGCACACCCUUAUACAGCCUCCAAAGUAGCACUGCUCUACAUGAACCAAGUCUAUAGGCUACAUGGAUUCCCGGGGUCGAUUGUGUCUGACCGUGAUCCGAUGUUCAUGAGUCAUUUUUGGCAGGAGCUCUUCAAGUAUGCAGGCACGGGUCUCAGAAUGAGUUCAGCCAACCACCCACAGAUGAACGGCCAGACGGAGAGGGUCAAUCAGUGCCUAGAAACCUUCCUCCGAUGCUUCACGCAGGCGUGUCCCCGUCGAUGGAGCUACUGGAUUCCACUUGCACAGUUCUGGUACAACUCUUCCCAUCAUUCUGCCAUUGGAAUGUCACCAUUUCGUGCUAUGUACGGGCAUGAACCACGGCAAUGGGGGAUUACAACAACGAGGGCUUUUUCAGUGCCGGCCCUUCAUUCCUGGCUGGAUGAACGCACCGUUGUGCAAGACCUUCUCCAAUGGCAUCUCCAUCGAGCGAGACAGUGCAUGAAGUAG
rnacentral:rRNA from 1 species